CAAGUACUCCCUCCGUCCGGAAAUACUUGUUGGAGGAAUGGAUGCAUCUAGACAUAUCUUAGUUCUAGAUACAUCCAUUUUUAUCUAUUUCUUCGACAAGUAUUUUCGGACGGAGGGAGUAAUCU
rnacentral:pre_miRNA from 1 species